rnacentral:rRNA from 1 species
GACGAACGCUGGCGGCGUGCUUAACACAUGCAAGUCGAACGAAGUGGCGAACGGGUGAGUAAAGCGUAAUCAACCUGCCCUUCAGUGGGGGACAACAGUUGGAAAUGACUGCUAUUACUGCAUAAUGUAGGCGUGGAUUGCGUUUGAUAAGCUAGUAGGGGGGGUAACGGCCCACCAAGGCCAUGACCAGUAGCCGGUCUGAGAGGAUGAACGGCAACAUUGGGACUGAGACACGGCCCAGACUCCUACGGGAGGCAGCAGUGGGGAAUCUUCCGCAAUGGAGGGAAGUCUGACGGAGCAACGCCGCGUGAGUGAUGACGGCCUUCGGGUUGUAAAGCUCUGUUAAUCGGGACGCGGUACCGAAAUAGAAAGCCACGGCUAACUACGUGCCAGCAGCCGCGGUAAUAC